CAGCGUAGAGUGACUAGCUCUCACCUUUGCAUCAAAAUGCAUUCAGUCCGUCUGCCACUGCUCAUUAUAUAAAGGAGAAAGCUGAUUACAACAGGCUUAAAUUAGACUGAAUGUCUAAGCAGCCAUAGUGGCAGAAAUAAACACUGUUGAGCAUCAGCUAUUGAAAUACAGUGUUAAAAAAUAGAAGCACCCAAGAAAUUGCUGUUCACGUCUUGCUAAGGCCCCUCUCUCAGUAGCCAGGUUUAAUCCUAUAACAGGUGGAAGAGCGUUGGCCUGCAAAUCUCUCCAUUUGUGUGUGUCACUUGUCUGACAGCUGAUAAGAACUUCAUCAUUUGAAUGUGCUGCUGGGGUACCGUGAGUGGAGAUGGAAAGGAUAUUAUAAAAACUUUACAGAUUUCUCUACAACCCUUUCAAGUCUGGUUGCAAUAAAUAAAUAAUUAACACAAAAGCUGCCACUUGAAAAUCCCAAGACUGCUCUGGAAAAUCAGCUAGCCUAGUGUAAUGAGCACACGAUUUGCACUUCUGAGCAGUGGGGUGAUGUAUGUGGUCAUUAGUGACAUCUUUUCCUACACAUGUAUUUUUACAUCAUAUGGUGGAUAGAUGACUUCCUAAAGAUGUUAUACCAAGAUAAUAAUACCCCAGUCUCCAUGGAUACCAGAUUUAAACAUAAUUUGCUCUUGGGCGACAGAAUUUAUGAGCAUACUGCAUAGCUAUCAGAAGACGCUAAGGUCUCAAAGUCAAUAUUAAGGGGCCGAUUUAUUAAAGUUAGAUAUGUAAACUCUAUUUCGAAUUCUCGAGUUGGAUUUUUGGUCAAAACUCACAAAUUUGGGAGUUGGGAAUAAUUCGACU